CAAAAGACAGUCUAUUUUUGAGAAUGAAUUUUUAAAGCAAAGUACCUGAAAAUGUUGUGUACUUGUUGCACUUUAUUCAGCAAAUGUUUAUUGUGCCCAUGUUUGCAAGGCACGGUUUGAGGCUGGAGAAAGAGACUUCCAAGGAGCUGCCAGCUGGCUGUGAUGACAGGGUGGACUCGGAAACUGGCAGAGGGUGUUGGCGCAUUUUGCCUCUGAAGUCAUAAGUUUGGGUGAGUGACACAGCGGUAGAGUCUUGACAGGGCUGGGGAAGGUGGGAGGAAGAAACAGCCCCAGGAAAAGAGGAUGGGUGUGGCUCGGGGGAUGUGUUUAGAUUCUUCAGUCAUAUUCAGUCUAACAUGUCUAUUUCCUGUAUUUCAUUCUUCGUCUCUACCCUUCCACUUGAUUUUUCUUGCAAGUUGUUAUGUUGGCUUUUCCCCCCUUUAUAAAAAAAAUGGUCAGGAACUUGGGGAGGUGCAUUGAAUGAUGACAGUGUGUUUGAGUAAAGUAAAUGAAUGCAGUGGGGUAAAUCCAUGCUUUUAGGGCAUAAUCCCAGAGGCGACAGAUUUAAGUUUUUAGGUACAUGCUUUUAUUAUUCAGGCUGGCUCUUGGUACUGAAAAUGUCUUGACAAAUGAGCCAGCAUUCAGAUAACUGAAAAAAUGAACUUCUGUGAAAUACUUCUGUUUGCUUUGAAAUUAUUCAUCACUUUGUUUGGGGGACCUUGCCAAAUUCAAAGUGGAGUAUUGUGAUGUACCUUGAGCCUGAUGGAGUUUUUUUCUGUAUUUAACCAAGAUCACACUUUAAAACUAGACAGAGAAUCAUGGGUACCUUGUAAAAAACCUACCACGGACGCCAGA
rnacentral:lncRNA from 1 species